CCUGCACCUGCCGGCGACCGGCGCACGGGUGAGUAACACGUAUGGAACCUGCCCGCCACAGGGGGAUAACCCGGGGAAACCCGGCCUAAUACCCCAUGCCGCCCGGACCGGGCAUCCGGUCCGGGCGAAAGGAGGAAUCCGGUGGCGGCUGGGCAUGCGGCGCAUUAGCUUGACGGCGGGGUAACGGCUCACCGUGGCGACGAUGCGUAGGGGUUCUGAGAGGAAGGCCCCCCACACUGGUACUGAGACACGGACCAGACUCCUACGGAAGGCAGCAG
rnacentral:rRNA from 1 species